CAACUACCCCCUCUGUCCCAAAUUUCUUGUCUUAGGUUUUUCUAGAUACGGAUGUAUCUAAUACUAAAAUGUGACUUGAUACAUCCGUAUCUAGACAAAUCUAAGACAAGAAUUUUGGGACGGAGGGAGUACUUU
rfam:Triticum aestivum genome assembly, contig: Triticum_aestivum_CS42_TGACv1_scaffold_610590_7DL